CUGUUCCACCUAACAGCAGAUAUCAUCUUGUGCACAGGGCAAAAUAGUGAGCUGUAAAGUGGAAUGUGACCUGCCUCUCUCAGUCUUCCAUUGAACAGGGCUAGGGUAAGGUGCACAGGGGAAACAUGAUACACUCCGGGUGGGUUCCACCGACAUGGUUUAAAUUAAUCUAGGUUUUGUUUUUUUGUAUUAUUUAUUAUUGUAAUUACUUAACGUUAAUGACCCAUUUAUUAUUUGUCCGCUAACCGCCUAUUGUCGGAGCUGAUGGAGGAAUUUAGGAACAUACAGGAGGAUAUAAAGACAGACAACACGACUGUCAAAAAGAAGGAAGACGCCUGGGCCAUUUUAUGCGACAAAUGUAAUGGAUCGGCACGGAUUAAAGAUAAGAGGGACCCAAAUUGGAUGAAAGCGUGCUGGAAAACAAUUAAAGGCGAAAGCCAAAAAGGAUGCGGCAGAGGAGAGGCGGGGGCUAUUUCAGACCGGAGGGACCGAAUUCCAUUCCGUCCAAUGGAAUUGAUCCUCUCUCCCAGAAGAUAUGCGAGAUGAUUCCUCAGCAGUUUGCCCCUCUCCAUAACCCCUAUGAUGACGACGGACAACUUGACCCACCAAUAUUUACCACUCAGAGGACAGUUGAUAAUGAGUGUCUCACUGCUGCUUGCACAGUCCAUUCCUCCAUCCCCACUGAAGUGCCCUUGUUGCCACCAGGCUGGGGCCAGAAAGGUCAAAGGCCAUCGUGCUGUGUGUCAACGCUGCUCCGAGGCCCUGCACCGUGUCUACCAGUUCUGCUGGGCCUGUGAGAGGGAGUGGCCUCAGUCAGGAGGAACCCUGGAGGGCCAAGGGAGCCAUUCCUCCUGCCCUCUGCCAGGCUGUGCCCUCAGGGCUGCCCUCCUCUCCCCAGAGGUCAUAGCUGAUCCCUGCAGUUCAGCCAAGGGAUGCCCCUUCUUCAGGGCCUGUCCUGGCUGUAAGGCCCUCCUCACUCACACCGGAAAGGGAUGCCCCAAUAUCGUCUGUCCACACUGCCAUAAAGUGUUCUGCUUCCGCUGCUUGAAGUGCUAUUUUGAGUAUGAUUAUUUUUUGGAGUCCCAUCUACAAUGCACUGUGGUGGGUAACAGUCAGUCUCUCAGAGAGUUGGGAAUGUAGAGGCUAUGGCACAUGGUCUUUGGAACAUUAAUUAAUGCCUCAUUCAUUAUCACUUGCAAAAGGAAAUCAUAUUGAUUGUAAUUACUCAUGGAAAUAUUACACAAAUUAUAUUGUACAAAGACAGUAAAUUGCUAGGCUUCAUUAUUGUCCAUUUUUCCUCAGUUGUCUGCAUGCUACUCAAGUAAAAGAUUAAUAAAUCCAGAAAUUAUAAUUUGUGUUCGGAGACCAGUCAUGAGUUUCUGAAUAUCAGGGGGGAGGAGAUUGACAUGUUUUUGUGGCCGAUGACGGGUUCAGGGAUCAUAUCACAGACAGUCUAUAAUCAGGUGGCCAUUUAUAAACGCUCCUCCCAUACACAGAUGGUGGAACCUCCAUUCCAGUCUUAUUACACCUGACUAGUGUUCUGAGAAUGGUCAUAUUUUUGGCCUGACACGUCUAUAUACAGCCAUGUUAUAACUCAAUCAUACAUAACUGACACCUGGUGGUGGCACUUUAAAUAGCCUUUACAUCUGAUCUAACAGGACGUCACCACUAUUUUUAGCACAGGAUUAUUUUCUUAUUAUGGAUUUAUAGGCAUCUACAUUUAAUCGGCACGCUUAUUACUGCUGGAAAAGAGAAUUCAACAUAAAAGUCCCCCAUUGAAACUAAAUGCAAACAGAUUAAAAAAAGUGGAAGCCUGCCACAAUUGGACUAGAUAAUGAAUUUGUAGGUUGGAAUGUUGUUGAAUAAAUUCAAUAAAAGAUUAUAAUUAGUUAAUUUUACACAAACAUAAUGUAACAAAUCUGUUGAUAUGGCACUGUGGAUGUAUUAGACUUCAGAAUUGCAUUGGGUACUGUCACACCCUGAUCAGUUUCACCUGUAAUGCUUAUUGUCUCCACCCCCUUCAGGUGUCACUUGUUAUCCCUGGUGUAUGUUAUCCCUGGUGUUUUCCCUGUGUUUCCUGUCUCUCUGUGCCAGUUCGUCUUGUAUGUUCCAAGUCAACCAGCGUGUUUUUCCCGUGCUCCUGCCUUUUCUAUUCUGUUUUACUAGUCCUCCCGGUUUUAACCCUUGCCUUGUUUUCUGGACUCUGUACCCGCCUGCCUGACCAUUCUGCCUGCCCUGACCUCGAGUCUGCCUCCCACACUGUACUUCCUGGACUCUGAACUGGUUUUGACCUUUUGCCUGUCCACGACCAUUCUCUUGCCUACCCCUUUUGGAUGUAAUAAAUACUCAAACCAUCUGCCUCCCGUGUCUGCAUCUGGGUCUCGCCUUGUGCCCUUAUAGGUACAUUCUUAUAUUGCAAUGUACAGCCUUACCUAUGGAUCUUGGGUCCAUGAAAUAGGGUAUCAGCCUACUCAGUGCCAUAUUACAAUUGUAAAGAGUUUACACAAAUAUUAGUGUGCUCUUAUUGUGGGGCUUUAACUUUCACCUCACAAUUCAGUCUAUUGUGCGCAAUGUUCAGCCUAAUUUAUGGAUCUUUGGUCCAUGAAAUGGAGUUCUCAGUGACUCUCACAGAGCACAACUGUGAACAGUUUUCACAAAUAUUAGCAUCAUAGCUCUUAUUGCGCAACUCUGAAAACACUGAAAUUAGCAACAUUAAGCUCAUAUGUCAACCUAUGUGUAUUAAACAUUCAUAUUGCAAUGUACAGCCUGAUACCCCAUUUCAUGGACCCAAGAUUCAUAGCUAAGGCUGUACAUUGCAAUAGGAAUGUCCAAAUCGCACAAUAGGCUUAAUAGUGAGGUGAUUUCCAACAGUUAAAGUCCCACAAUAAAAGCUGUAAAUAUCAUUGCGGUAAAGUGAGUAGACACUCGCAAAAAGCAGUCAAGUCAUUGGCGCUUCAGUCUCCUGAAUUUGGGUACCCGAAUACACACCACUUUACGAUAUCACGUGUUUUCUGGUAUGGAACUCAGUUGGAUGCACUCUCAUGCACAGAUAGAGAUGAUAGUUACAACUCAUUCAUAAUAAUGAUACCAAAUCGCUUCUUUCAUUUUCACACCUUAUCAAAAACAACUUUAUCACGGGUAGAGUGAGGCUGCAGAAUCCUAAAGCGGGUGCUGUUUAGCAAAUAUGAAAUUGUGAAAGCAAGAUGUGUGACAUACAGUUGAAGUCGGAAGUUUACAUACACCUAAGCCAAAUACAUUUAAACUCAGGUUUUCACAAUUCCUGACAUUUAAUCCAAGUAAAAGUUCCCUGUCUUAGGUCAGUUAGGAUCACCACUUUAUUUUAAGAAUGUGAAAUGUCAGAAUAAUAGUAGAGAGAAUGAUUUAUUUCAGCUUUUCUUCCCUCCAUUCCCAGUGGG
ensembl:lncRNA